rnacentral:tRNA from 3 species
CCCGCCUUAGCUCAGCCUGGGAGAGCGCGGGACUGUAGAUCCCGGUGUCCCCGGUUCAAAUCCGGGAGGCGGGA